GUCUCUGGCCAUAUCACCCUGAACACACCCAAACUCCUUCAAUCUCAGAAGCUAAGCAGGGUUGAGCCUGGUUAAUACUUGGACAGGAGACA
rnacentral:rRNA from 1 species